rnacentral:misc_RNA from 1 species
GGUGUAUCAUAAACUCUCUCAUUGAAUGAUUUAUCUUUAGAAAUCAACUUCAAUAAAGCUGAGCUGCUGUGGUUUGUAAAUAAUUGCAUGAGUCUUCCACAUGUUUUUAAGCUUGCUUGUCUCUGCAGUAUCCCAGUUAGCAGACCUUCACUUUUUAUACUUCCAAAAGCUUCAUCAUUGGAUUUAGUUUUUUCAAAAUUUUCCAUCUCAACAUCUAUAUCCACAAUGCAUGGUGAAUAAGCAUCGGCAUUUUCCAUCUGGAAACCAAUGAAGUUCUGGCAAUUCAGUUGAGGAUCUAAACACUUCUGCUUUUUUGGUGAAUCAGGAAGUUCUACAAAGCUUAAAAAUGCAAGCUGUGAUGUACAUUUUGGAUUGGUUUUGUCUUCCUCAGACAACAUUGAACUACUGUAGACAUCUUGGCCAUGUGGAGUCUGAAAGGCGCAUUCUUCUUCCAUUGGAAACGAAGCUUCCUCAAAAAGUAAAGGCAAAAUAUCUAGAGUACGCUGCUGGUUGACCUCAUCGAAACUUGGCUUUACUAACUGGAAGCAUGAACCAGCAACAGGAAGAUCGCAACUUCCAUCAACAAUCACUGGGGUUUCCACAUGAGAGGAAAUAGCAUUAGUAGCCAUUGGAGAGACAGAGGUCAAGUGUGGUAGCAGAGAAGACGGCUGCUCACAUACUAGAGAUAAUGCAUGUGUGAGAGUGUGC